CUCCACAACACUAAGCUGCGUGGGUCCUUCCAAACUUUACUUCUCCUCCUCCAAGACGCGCGGAGCAGAGCACCAUCAAUAAAAGUUGCCGCUCUUGUUGGUGCGUCAGCGCUCAAAGUUGAGCACAAAGCAGCAGAGGUAGAGCGACAUAGGGAGAGAGAGAGAGAACGAGAGAGAGAGAGAGAGAGAGAGAGAGAGAGAGAGAGAGAGAGGAGCGGUCCUCUUUUCCUUUGUCCGAUGCUCUGUCUCAAGCUUUUUUGGGAGACGACUUGAAAGGAUUUCGUCAUGACCAUCAAAAACUGGACUACAAGGAGGAAUGUUUUCCAAAUUUUGGGGAGAGCGACGGAGGAACGAACUCCAGAGUCCUAUUUGAAGAAGCUUUAAGGAUUAAGAGACAGAACACUUUUAUUUUGGAUAAGCUGAAGAACUCAUACGGAUUCAAACCUAAGCACCAGGAGCAGCUUUGCCUGGAGGGAUGCUUUCAAGGCAUACUUGGAAAUGUAGGCAACAAAAAAACAACAACCUGGAUAUACUUUGGAGAUUAAAGGAAUGUGAUGGUCUCCUUCUGCACUUCGGCUUAAACUCACCGAGAUGGCAGACUAUUGCAUUUCCGUCCUUCAUAAUAGCUCUGCCUCCAGCUCUGCAGUCCGUCCAGCAUGGCCUACAGCUCUGCAGUCAGCUCCAGCAUGGCCUACAGCUCUGCAGUCAGCCACAGCUCGGCCUCCAGCUCGGCCUCCAGCUCUGCCUCCAG